rnacentral:rRNA from 1 species
ACGCAGCCUGGUCGAAGCCUUCGGGGGAGUGGCGCACGGUGAGUAACGCGUAACCUGCCCAGCGGAAUAACGGUUGAAAACCGCUAUACUUGUGUCCUGAGGAAGAUUUAUCCUUUGGGGGCUUCGAUUAGCUUGGUGGGUAACGCUCACCAAGGCUACGAUCGAUAGUGGUCUGAGAUGAUCACCCACUGAGAGACGGCCACUCCUACGAGGCGCUGGGGAAUGACAGGGCCCCAGCCGCGUGUGUAAAGCUUAGGUGAACACUUUCCCGAAGAUGAUGACAAUAAACCGGUAACUCGCCAGACCGGUAAUACGAGGGGCGAGGUUCUCGGAUUACUGGGGUAAAGGGCGUAGCGCCAAUUACAGGGGAAGCCCCGGGCUCACCUGGAACAGCGCUUGAUACUGUUGUGUAAACAAAGGAUGAAUUCCAGGUAAGGAAUUCGAAUAUUGAAAACACCGUGGGAAGCGGCUAUGGUCCGGUACUGACUGAGCCGAAAGCGUGGGGAGCAAACAGAUUAGAUACCCUGGUAGUCCACCCGUAAACAUGAAUGCUAACGUCGAAACGUGUUUUUCGUGUCGCCUAACCAUUAACAUUCCCUGGGGAGACGCCGCAGGUUAAACUCAAGAAUUGAGGGGCCCGCACAAGCGGUGAGCAUGUGUUUAUUCGAGCACCAAUUCCUCUUGACAUGAAGUUUGGAUUUGGAGAGAUAUUCUUCAGUUCGGCUGGCUCACAGGUGUGCAUGGCUUCGCAGCUCGCGUGAGAUGUUGAGUAAUCCAACGAGCCACCCCAUCGUCGUUGCCAUGUGGUCUGGAACUGCGUGAACAGAGAGAGGGGACGUCACAUGUUAUGGCUGACAUCUACAGAUGGAAACGGUAAUU